CAUGACUUGAAACCAAAUCUAGAUCAUUGGAUGUAUAGUAUAAGUUAAAAUUAUAUUUAAAGUGUUUAAAUAUAAAUUUAAUUGUGAGAAAUUAAUUAAUGGAGAUUAAUUAAUUUAUUUAUAUUUGAUGUAAAUUGAUUAGAAGAUGAGAAAUAAUUAUUUUGGAUUAAGAACUCAAAAUUACAACACAAGGGUAAUUUGAUCAUUUCACAGGGUGAUAUGUGGCACCAUAUAAGUUUAUCAUUUGUCUUCCUAUCAUACAUGAUGAUCAAAGUCAAGAUUAAACCUAGCUUUGACACUUGGCUUAAUG
rnacentral:misc_RNA from 1 species